GAGGCCUAGAGAGAGUCAGAAACAGCUACAACAACCGAAAAGUGUGGCCUGAGGUAGGCAGGAAAAGGGAGGAGAGGAAAGCUGAAGCUACCGGUGUGUCGCCGCCUGCGGCCUGCAGAGGGCGCCGCGCGCUCACGAAAUCUUCUAAACACCUAAUAAGAAUCAGCCAAAUGGUGGAGAUACAAAGAUGGGAUGAAAUAAACAGAGCAUUUGCCCUCAAGGAGAAAGAUACAUGGCCAGCCCAGGGACUUUGUGAUGCUGUGAGAGCGGUGAUGGUGUGAGCGAUGGUGAUUCUGCAGAAGGGGAACUACCAGGACUCAAUCCCUCACGAGCUCAUCAUCUCUGUAAUCCACGUGCCUCCUGCUUUCUACAGGGUAAGGCAAUGGGAAGACGUUACCUUGGAAACAGGGAGACGACUCCAUCACCAUUCAGACCAAUCUCUUAGACCUCAGUUGCUCUGUCUGUAAGUGGGGAGAAUGAUACUUCAUGCUUGAAGACAUCAAACGCUAAGGGGCUUUUCAUGACUUGAGCCUUUGAUUCCACCUCCCAGCCAAAGGAGUAUGCAAUUAAAUCCCAAAGUGAAUCUUUCUUUGGGAACCGAGAGGCCCUCCAACACACAGGCUACUUGGUCUUUCUGCUGCCCUCCCUGGUAUUGGGAUUGUAAGAAGUGGAGGAGCCCAGACCUUUGUCUGAGGUGGACAGAGGAAGAUGUCAUGAAAACUGAGAGUUAGAUUAUUUUAAGAAGAGGGAGUCCUCCGUCCAGUCCCUCCCCCACCAUCCCAGUGUGUUCACACCAGACGUGCAGUCUCUGCUCGGCACCUCUGGGCCUGCCUGCCAGGAGAGGUCUUCUCCCUGGAGAGAAACAGUUCCGCAGCGAUAGCUGAACACAUUCCAACAACACAUGUUU